rnacentral:rRNA from 1 species
UUNUGCGAUCAUACCAGCACUAAAGCACCGGAUCCCAUCAGAACUCCGAAGUUAAGCGUGCUUGGGCGAGAGUAGUACUCGGAUGGGUGACCUCCUGGGAAGUCCUCGUGUUGCAUUCC